CGUUGGCCUUGGUAUUCAUCACUCUGUACCCUGCCUGGCCUUGCUGUGAGGAGAAGGCAGAGGACAUAGAGAUCAGUAACUGAUAUUCUUGAUCACCACCAAUGAAGCAUUGAAUCCACCCAUUAGCAAUGAAGUUCUGCUUAUCUGUGCACCUAAGAAGAAUAUGGCCCUUUUUGGAAAGCUGAAUUGAAGCAACUGGUAGGCGGAAGAAAUUCCAUGGUGCAGGAUUCACAGGCUUGCAGGCUGAUGGAACCUCUACUAUCCAGAACAUCACUGAUCUAUACAGAGGAGCAAGAGUGAAGCACAUGAGUUCUUAAUGGCUUCUACCAGGAAAUGGCACACCUCACUUCAGCUUAUGUUUUAUUGUUCAAAGCAAUUCACAUAGUUAGCUACACUCCAAAAGGUAAAGCAUCACGAUUCUUCCAUGUGCCUAGAGAGAAGAGAAACAUGUAGUAUACAGAGGUAAUGAAGACCUCCAUCUACAUUCUGUGAUCAAAUAUGGAGUUCACUCCUUUUCCCUCUGCUAAGUGACAUAAUUAUACUGAUUUCAGGACAAAGAAGAUCAACCAUGGAAGAACCCAUGACUUUAUAAAAGGGUGUGGGUGAACCAAGUGCAGAAAUGGCUAAGAGAUGCUGGGAAUCUAAUUUAGGAGUAUUGUUGGUCCAGCAGACAAGAGACUGAAUUCAAAAGAGCCGGUUUGGGUUUAAAUCAUUGGAAUGAUUCCUUGAGUUCAGAUAGACAAGAGGUUUAACACAGGAAUUCAGACAAGUCAACCAAGCUUUAUUCCCUGAGAAACAUAAUUACUACUCAGAGCA